rnacentral:rRNA from 1 species
UACGUAGGGUGCAAGCGUUAUUCGGAUUCACUGGGCGUAAAGAGCGCGCAGGCGGUCGUUCAAGUCGCGUGUGAAAGCCCCCGGCUCAACUGGGGAGGGUCACGCGAUACUGAUCGACUCGAAGGCAGGAGAGGGUAGUGGAAUUCCCGGUGUAGUGGUGAAAUGCGUAGAUAUCGGAAGGAACAUCAGUGGCGAAAGCGGCUUCCUGGACCAGCACCGACGUUCAGGCACGAAAGCGUGGGGAGCAAACAGG